rnacentral:rRNA from 1 species
CCUACGGGUCGCACCAGUGGGGAAUAUUGCACAAUGGGCGCAAGCCUGAUGCAGCCAUGCCGCGUGUAUGAAGAAGGCCUUCGGGUUGUAAAGUACUUUCAGCGGGGAGGCAGGUGUUGUGGUUAAUAACCGCAGCAAUUGACGUUACCCGCAGAAGAAGCACGGGCUAACUCCGUGCCAGCAGCCGCGGUAAUACGGAGGGUGCAAGCGUUAAUCGGAAUUACUGGGCGUAAAGCGCACGCAGGCGGUCUGUCAAGUCGGAUGUGAAAUCCCCGGGCUCAACCUGGGAACUGCAUUCGAAACUGGCAGGCUAGAGUCUUGUAGAGGGAGGUAGAAUUCCAGGUGUAGCGGUGAAAUGCGUAGAGAUCUGGAGGAAUACCGGUGGCGAAGGCGGCCCCCUGGACAAAGACUGACGCUCAGGUGCGAAAGCGUGGGGAGCAAACAGGAUUAGAUACCCUAGUAGUC